CCACAGACUUGCAACAUCACCUUCCCUGAUGCUGGGGCAGGUGUUUCCGGGUCAGCCUCAUCACACUCCGUGGGAAAUUUCAACCCAGCUGCUUGGCAUCUCCUGUCCACACGAUCAAGACCCAUAGAAAUCUGCUACAGAUCACAAACCUCCUCUGUCCUGUGGCAAAACAACGUGGUUCACUGAGGAACAGUCUGCCACCAACAGUGAAGUUUCCAGAAUCCCAGGGCACAGACAGUGAUGAUUCUUCAGACCAUCUUCCAUUUGGCAGAUCUUAACACCUGCUAGCUGACUGAGUCAAAGGCUCUUGCUGCAAGAUACAACAUGUAGGUGAGAGGAGGGAAGAAAAGAGAAAAGCAGGAUGGCCCAGCUUAUUGCAAUUCUGAGUGUAUGGGACCAAGGACCUUGAACUUAGGACAUAACCCCCAAGGCCAUGUUCUUUCCACUGAUCUCCAUUAUGUUGGCAAGGUGAAAUAAAGGUCA